AAAACAAUUACGUUCUAUUGAAAUAAUUGUCCUAUAUAUUUAUAUUUAAUUAAUUAUUAUCUGGGAAAAUAUACGAACGUACCCGCCUAUUUUUUUUCCCAACAUUCGGAAUAAGAGAAUUACAAUAUAAUCACAGUUUUAUAAUUGAAUCUGCUGCUAACAAUUACGUUAGGCCGACUUUAAUGUAUGUAUACAGAAGUGACUAUUUGUACCGACGUUUCAGUGUUUU